ACGGGUGAGUAAUGUCUGGGGAUCUGCCCGAUAGAGGGGGAUAACCACUGGAAACGGUGGCUAAUACCGCAUAACGUCGCAAGACCAAAGAGGGGGACCUUCGGGCCUCUCACUAUCGGAUGAACCCAGAUGGGAUUAGCUAGUAGGCGGGGUAAUGGCCCACCUAGGCGACGAUCCCUAGCUGGUCUGAGAGGAUGACCAGCCACACUGGAACUGAGACACGGUCCAGACUCCUACGGGAGGCAGCAGUGGGGAAUAUUGCACAAUGGGCGCAAGCCUGAUGCAGCCAUGCCGCGUGUAUGAAGAAGGCCUUCGGGUUGUAAAGUACUUUCAGCGGGGAGGAAGGCGACGGGGUUAAUAACCCUGUCGAUUGACGUUACCCGCAGAAGAAGCACCGGCUAACUCCGUGCCAGCAGCCGCGGUAAUACGGAGGGUGCAAGCGUUAAUCGGAAUUACUGGGCGUAAAGCGCACGCAGGCGGUCUGUUAAGUCAGAUGUGAAAUCCCCGGGCUUAACCUGGGAACUGCAUUUGAAACUGGCAGGCUUGAGUCUUGUAGAGGGGGGUAGAAUUCCAGGUG
rnacentral:rRNA from 1 species